rnacentral:rRNA from 1 species
GAUGAACGCUGGCGGCGUGCCUAAUACAUGCAAGUCGAGCGAGUGGAUUAAGAGCUUGCUCUCAUGAAGUUAGCGGCGGACGGGUGAGUAACACGUGGGUAACCUGCCCAUAAGACUGGGAUAACUCCGGGAAACCGGGGCUAAUACCGGAUAACAUUUUGAACCGCAUGGUUCGAAAUUGAAAGGCGGCUUCGGCUGUCACUUAUGGAUGGACCCGCGUCGCAUUAGCUAGUUGGUGAGGUAACGGCUCACCAAGGCAACGAUGCGUAGCCGACCUGAGAGGGUGAUCGGCCACACUGGGACUGAGACACGGCCCAGACUCCUACGGGAGGCAGCAGUAGGGAAUCUUCCGCAAUGGACGAAAGUCUGACGGAGCAACGCCGCGUGAGUGAUGAAGGCUUUCGGGUCGUAAAACUCUGUUGUUAGGGAAGAACAAGUGCUAGUUGAAUAAGCUGGCACCUUGACGGUACCUAACCAGAAAGCCACGGCUAACUACGUGCCAGCCGCCGCCGUAA